rnacentral:rRNA from 1 species
UGGGGAAUUUUGGACAAUGGGCGAAAGCCUGAUCCAGCAAUGCCGCGUGUGUGAAGAAGGCCUUCGGGUUGUAAAGCACUUUUGUCCGGAAAGAAAUCCUUGGCUCUAAUACAGUCGGGGGAUGACGGUACCGGAAGAAUAAGCACCGGCUAACUACGUGCCAGCAGCCGCGGUAAUACGUAGGGUGCAAGCGUUAAUCGGAAUUACUGGGCGUAAAGCGUGCGCAGGCGGUUUGCUAAGACCGAUGUGAAAUCCCCGGGCUCAACCUGGGAACUGCAUUGGUGACUGGCAGGCUAGAGUAUGGCAGAGGGGGGUAGAAUUCCACGUGUAGCAGUGAAAUGCGUAGAGAUGUGGAGGAAUACCGAUGGCGAAGGCAGCCCCCUGGGCCAAUACUGACGCUCAUGCACGAAAGCGUGGGGAGCAAACAGGAUUAGAUACCCUGGUAGUCCACGCCCUAAACGAUGUCAACUAGUUGUUGGGGAUUCAUUUCCUUAGUAACGUAGCUAACGCGUGAAGUUGACCGCCUGGGGAGUAGGUCGCAAGAUUAAAACUCAAAGGAAUUGACGGGGUCAUAGCUGUUUCCU